AGUGAACGCUGGCGGUAGGCCUAACACAUGCAAGUCGAACGGCAGCACCGUAAGAGCUUGCUCUUACGGGUGGCGAGUGGCGGACGGGUGAGGAAUACAUCGGAAUCUACUUUUUCGUGGGGGAUAACGUAGGGAAACUUACGCUAAUACCGCAUACGACCUACGGGUGAAAGCAGGGGAUCUUCUGACCUUGCGCGAUUGAAUGAGCCGAUGUCGGAUUAGCUAGUUGGCGGGGUAAAGGCCCACCAAGGCGACGAUCCGUAGCUGGUCUGAGAGGAUGAUCAGCGACACUGGAACUGAGACACGGUCCCGACUCCUACGGGAGGCAGCAGUGGGGAAUAUUGGACAAUGGGCGCGAGCCUGAUCCAGCCAUACCGCGUGGGUGAAGAAGGCCUUCGGGUUGUAAAGCCCUUUUGUUGGGAAAGAAAAGCAGCAGGUUAAUACCCCGCUGUUCUGACGGUACCCAAAGAAUAAGCACCGGCUAACUUCGUG
rnacentral:rRNA from 1 species